GAUGAAGAACGUAGCGAAAUGCGAUCAGUAAUGUGAAUUGCAGAAUUCAGUGAAUCAUCGAAUCUUUGAACGCACAUUGCGCCCGCUAGUAUUCUGGCGGGCAUGCCUGUCCGAGCGUCAUUUCAACCCUCAAGCCCCCGGGCUUGGUGUUGGGGAUCGGCGAGCCUCCGCGCCCGCCGUCCCCUAAAUCUAGUGGCGGUCUCGCUGUAGCUUCCUCUGCGUAGUAGCACACCUCGCACUGGGAAACAGCGCGGCCACGCCGUUAAACCCCCAACUUCUGAACGUUUGACCUCGGAUCAGGUAGGAAUACCCGCUGAACUUAAGCAUAUCAAUAAGCGGAGGA
rnacentral:misc_RNA from 1 species